rnacentral:snRNA from 1 species
UUGUGGCACACAUAUACUAAAAUUGAAAGGAUACAGAGAAGAUUAGCAUGUCCCCUGUGAAAGGAUGACAUGCAAAUUCAUGAAGCAUUCCAUAUUUUU